rnacentral:rRNA from 1 species
GACGAACGCUGGCGGCGUGCUUAACACAUGCAAGUCGAACGAUGAUGCCCAGCUUGCUGGGUGGAUUAGUGGCGAACGGGUGAGUAACACGUGAGUAACCUGCCCCUGACUCUGGGAUAAGCGUUGGAAACGACGUCUAAUACUGGAUAUGACUGCCGGCCGCAUGGUCUGGUGGUGGAAAGAUUUUUUGGUUGGGGAUGGACUCGCGGCCUAUCAGCUUGUUGGUGAGGUAAUGGCUCACCAAGGCGACGACGGGUAGCCGGCCUGAAAGGGUGACCGGCCACACUGGGACUGCGACACGGCCCAGACUCCUACGGGAGGCAGCAGUGGGGAAUAUUGCACAAUGGGCGAAAGCCUGAUGCAGCAACGCCGCGUGAGGGAUGACGGCCUUCGGGUUGUAAACCUCUUUUAGUAGGGAAGAAGCGAAAGUGACGGUGCCUGCAGAAAAAGCACCGGCUAACUACGUGCCAGCAGCCGCCGUAA